UGAAUUUCUGCAAAUGAGCAAUAAAUCAUGAAUCACACAUAUUAGUUGUUGGGUCAUCCAAACCACACAGGUGUAAUGUUUAAACACUCAUUAUCAACACUUACUUUGCACUCAAACAGCUGAUUGUAGGCGAUGAUCAGUUGCUCUUUCUUCGCUGUUUUGGCAACAUUUUUGAUGUUUCCCAGCAGCUUGUGUUCAUUGAGGAACUGAAACGGAAGACAGACAAGUUUGAAGCACCCAAUACUCAACGAUUCAACACCUUCAGCACCCACUACUCAACGAUUCAACACCUUCAGCACCCAGUACUCAACGAUUCAACACCUUCAGCACCCAGUACUCAACGAUUCAACACCUUCAGCACCCAGUACUCAACGAUUCAACACCUUCAGCACUCAGUACUCAACGAUUCAACACCUUCAGCACCCAAUACUCAACGAUUCAACAUCUUCAGCACCCAAUACUCAACGAUUCAACACCUUCAGCACCCAAUACUCAACGAUUCAACACCUUCAGCACCCAGCACUCAACGAUUCAACACCUUCAGCACCCAGCACUCAACGAUUCAACACCUUCAGCACCCAGUACUCAACGAUUGAGUGCACAACACAAUCAAAACAUAAUGUAAGCAUUCCAGUCCUUCAAUAAUAGUAGCCAUGAAGUGGCUGAAUGCCAACAUUAGCUUUGGCCUGAUGGCAGUUUUUUUUAUUGAUAUUAUUAUUUGAAAGAUAUUUUGUAUUGUUUUAACAUCAAGUUCGGCAAAAUGUCCCUCAGUAUCUUUGCUUCUGGGCGGCAGUAACUCAGUCCUUAGGGACUUGGGUUGUGGACCAGAGGGUCACCGGUUCAAGUCCUGAUGUGGACCAUAUUAUGGCAGUUGGUCUGGUAGCUGGAGAGGUGCCAGGGCACUGCCGAGGUGCCCUUGAGCAAGACACAGAAUCACAGCUUGUAGGAGCCCCACUCUGACAUCUCUCCACCAGUACAUGUCCACAGGUCCUGUUUGUGCGUGUGAUUCGGACCUAUAAGUGUGAGAAGCAUGUGUCUCAAUAACAGAGCGUAAACCAGAAUUUCUCUCAGGCAUUAAUAAAGUACAUACAUUUUUAAAGACAUUUAAAACAAAUCAAUUGCCUAUUCAAUUGUUUACUAACCAGGAGAUGGUGAAAUAAUAAUGAUUUGUUAGAUUCAAUGCAUUAAAAAAUGUACAACAUAACGACACAGCAGGACUUGAUCAUACUCCAGCUGAAGCCUGAGUGUGAUAUCAGAGGAAGAAGCUGCUAUGUAAAGAAGGUCAGUAGCUUUGAUUACAAGUGCAAGUCUAAACACUUCAUCACACUUCUAUCUUGUUCAAAUUCCACCUUUAAAACCGCACAAAUAACGGUCCUUUGAAGUGUUUAGAUCUAGUCUUAUUGUGUUGUCUUCAUAUCACAGCAGUUGCCUAUUUCUCCUACAGUUUCCAUUCACAGUCUGCAGCUGCUUCACCACAGACAGGAAAGCAAUCAUGCAAAAACUGUUGUCAUGAACCAGUGCACUCUUUCAUGGUUUAAUCUUAGCUUUUUUAAUAUCCUGUUCACUCAGUCACUUUUUAAAAAGUUCACAGUUUCAGUACAUUAAGCCUCACACUGCAUCUGAAUGAUGCACAAAGAGAUCCACUGUAUAAACUAUAGAUCUUAUUACCAAGUAUAAUAAUCUUAUUUUUAGAUGAAAAUAAUGCAGAUGGUCUUGUUCUAAGUGUAAAUGGAUUAUCUUGUAUUUUCAAAGGGAGCUCAUGUUACAUCAUUUUAAAGUUAAACCUGUCUUUUCUUGAUAAGCAACUUUUGUGUUUUAACUUCAUCAAUAUUUUUGUUAAAAGCACUAAAAGAAUAGUUAAACAAUAAUCUUAUUUAAAGCACAAGCUCUAUAAUUGACACAAGUCAUUGUAAAAGAUGGAGAAAAAAGUGAAAGCAAAAUCUUUUGAAAAUAAAAAUGCAAUGAGUAAAAUAACAUUUUAGGUUGAUGUUUGCCAUCAACGCAUGUAGCUCUAUUAGCUUCAAGCAGGCUGGUUUCGCUCAUGCUUUCUAUCAGCCUGCUGCCUCUCUCAUGGUCUUUAUGUCAGUCUCAUCUUUGUUGCAUCAGCAGGCCUUUCUGUUUGUGCCCUGCUGCUCCUCUGGAAAUCUUUGCUCCUCGCACCAGCGAUGAAAGAUUUGACAUAAAAAGAACUUGUAUGAAUACGUCUCCCAGCUGACCCUGUCUGGUUCUAUUCAUCAGUAACCUUGAGAAAAAGCAGUGAGAAGAGGAUGAUGAACCGUUCUGCUCUGACAACAAGACAACAGCAGUGAUGAGAGGGAUACUGAAAUAUAUUUUUAGAGGAAUCUUUCCCAGGCUCCAUAACAGCAUAAUAUACAAAAACUGAAUAAAAUAGGCCUCACCUUG